ACUCGACCCUAAAAAUCCUUAAAAUCUUAAAUUAGAAAAAGAAUCACACAAAGGCCUACGACUAAAGUCCUACAAAUUAUUUAAAUUGGGCUGUUAAGCCAAAAACAACUAAUGGGCCUAAUAUUGAUUUUCGAUAUACGAAUAUACGAUACCUUAGGGUUAAAGAGUCGUUACAGUAUCAGCCGUUCACGUAACGAUUGAAGGUGUGAGGCGUUAGAUGUGAUUGUGUCCAGCUCUACAUAAACCCGGACUCCCAAUCUUCAUUGCCAUCGGUUUUGUUUUAAGUUUUCCUGUCAUUGAAAUUCUUCCGACUUCCGGCCAUCUUCCGUCUUAGUGAUUACAAUUUACGUUUAUCUGAUUCAAGGCUUCGCUAUCUGGUCGGCGUGAAUUUUCUCAGUUUCUGCCCGACUCGUUCCCUAGAAGCAAGAUCAAGCGUGCUGUUCUAAACUUUUUAAUCUCCUUCGGCUUUCAUUUCUUCGAGAUCACUAGUACAGCUACAUUUAUUUCUUUAUUCUAUACAUUCUAAUUUGCUGUUUUCAAUUGAUUUUAGUUAGGUGGUAUUAGAUUUUUUGGAAAACGAUCAGCGAUGAUGAGUCAAUACAGACCUGUAAUGAUUUGCGAGCAUGAUCGCAAUUUAUGAACAUCUAAGGGACUGAGCUUUAUAUCGUUCUCUAUCUUUCUAUAGGCUGCCAUCUUUUUAUGUUUUCUUAUUAUGUUUUUUUUUCAAAUUUAUCUUUUUAGAUGAUUUGUGAAUGUUAUUUCUUAUUUUUAAGUUAAAUUCAGUAACGGAAAUCACAUUAGCUGAGAUUUUGCUAUUGAAACCCAUUUGAUGCAGGUGUCAGUUCAGAACCAAGAACAUAUUGACAUUGUUUGUUGAUAUCUUUUAGAAGCUAUAACGAAUUCAUGUCAAUAGCCAUGUCUCCAAAUGUCGUACAACUAGGAAAAGAUUGCAUCAUAACAAGCGAAGCCUAUUGAAUCAAAUAGUUUAGAGUUAAAUAGGUCUGAUCAUUUAUGGAAUUAGGUGAAGGUGGUGGUGGAGCUGCCAUGGGAAUCAAAUAAUUUUGGCUCUUAUCUGUAAAAGAGCAUGUUUACUCCUUUAAUAUCAUCUUCGGCUGGUCAAUUUAAUAAAGGAAAGGAUAGAAAUUGACAGAGAGAAAUCCCUAGUUCAACGGGAAUCAAAUAAUUUUAUUUUUGUAAGUUUUUGUGUUCUUAAGUUAGUAUGAAAUGAAAACUAAACGGUUACAUACUUACAGUUAUA